rnacentral:tRNA from 1 species
GCUGGGGUGGCAGAGCCCGGUAAAUGCUAAAGACCUAAGCUCUUUCGACAGGGGUUCAAAUCCCCUUCUCAGCU